rnacentral:rRNA from 1 species
GUCGAGCGGUAGCACAGAGAGCUUGCUCUCGGGUGACGAGCGGCGGACGGGUGAGUAAUGUCUGGGAAACUGCCUGAUGGAGGGGGAUAACUACUGGAAACGGUAGCUAAUACCGCAUAAUGUCGCAAGACCAAAGUGGGGGACCUUCGGGCCUCAUGCCAUCAGAUGUGCCCAGAUGGGAUUAGCUAGUAGGUGGGGUAACGGCUCACCUAGGCGACGAUCCCUAGCUGGUCUGAGAGGAUGACCAGCCACACUGGAACUGAGACACGGUCCAGACUCCUACGGGAGGCAGCAGUGGGGAAUAUUGCACAAUGGGCGCAAGCCUGAUGCAGCCAUGCCGCGUGUGUGAAGAAGGCCUUCGGGUUGUAAAGCACUUUCAGCGGGGAGGAAGGCGGUGAGGUUAAUAACCUCGUCGAUUGACGUUACCCGCAGAAGAAGCACCGGCUAACUCCGUGCCACAGCCGCGGUAAUACGGAGGGUGCAAGCGUUAAUCGGAAUUACUGGGCGUAAAGCGCACGCAGGCGGUCUGUCAAGUCGGAUGUGAAAUCCCCGGGCUCAACCUGGGAACUGCAUUCGAAACUGGCAGGCUAGAGUCUUGUAGAGGGGGGUAGAAUUCCAGGUGUAGCGGUGAAAUGCGUAAAGAUCUGGA